UACGUAGGGGGGCUAGCGUUGUCCGGAUUUAUUGGGCGUAAAGAGCGUGUAGGCGGCCAGGUAGGUCUGCUGUGAAAACUCGAGGCUCAACCUCGAGACGUCGGCGGAAACCAUCUGGCUAGAGUCCGGAAGAGGAGAGUGGAAUUCCUGGUGUAGCGGUGAAAUGCGCAGAUAUCGAGGAAGAACACCCGUGGCGGAAGGCGGUUCGUCUGGGACGGUACUGACGCU
rnacentral:rRNA from 1 species